AAACAACUCUCAGCAACGGAUAUCUUGGCUCUUGCAACGAUGAAGAACGCAGCGAAAUGCGAUACGUAGUGUGAAUUGCAGAAUUCCGCGAAUCAUCGAGUCUUUGAACGCAAGUUGCGCCCGAGGCUCGUCCGA
rnacentral:rRNA from 1 species